UGCACGUAACGACUGUUUUAGUCCCUCUACCACUCCAGAAAGAAUCUCAGGAAAGUGCUUGAAUCACCCCCAGAAGAGGAAACCUCAGAUUUACAUCAAUCGUGAAGAUAAUAUCAGUGAUACUACUACCCAGUUGUAGACAUGCAUGCUGUGAUUCAACCUCUCUGUCCUGAAAACAAAAACGUUCUCUGCUAAGGCUGACCACUUGUGACACCAGUGUGCUGUAUCCCCACAUAGGCAGUGCUCGGGCUGUGCCGCCUUUGCCUGCAGCAACUUCUGUUGCGUGUUUGUGGUUGUUGCUCAUUCUUGAACAAAACAGUGCUGAGACAUGGUUGAUGCUGUUCAGCCAGGCUUCCUGAGGGCUCCAGAACACCAGGUGAGAUAUCAGCCAGCUUUUUCUGACAAGCAAAAGUGCCUUAACUCUGUCACCCUGGAAAGUACAGCGCUUUUUGGUAAGUUUUAUUUUUUUCCUUGCAGGAUGCUCAAGGGGUAAGGCUGUGUCAAAGUUGGAUAUACAAACAAAUUUAAAAAAGGAAAACUUUGUUCCCUUUACUCUUCUUGGCAAAGGCUGUUUCUUGGUUAUGUGUGUUGUUGGAGAAAAAAAAACACCAGAAAACCUGUCUUAA